rnacentral:rRNA from 1 species
GUUGUUGGGUAGGGGAGCGUUCUGUAAGCCGUUGAAGGUGGCCUGUGAGGGUUGCUGGAGGUAUCAGAAGUGCGAAUGCUGACAUAAGUAACGAUAAUGCGGGUGAAAAACCCGCACGCCGGAAGACCAAGGGUUCCUGUCCAACGUUAAUCGGGGCAGGGUGAGUCGACCCCUAAGGCGAGGCCGAAAGGCGUAGUCGAUGGGAAACAGGUUAAUAUUCCUGUACUUGGUGUUACUGCGAAGGGGGGACGGAGAAGGCUAUGUUGGCCGGGCGACGGUUGUCCCGGUUUAAGCGUGUAGGUGUGUGUUCCAGGUAAAUCCGGUUCACUUUAACACUGAGGCGUGAUGACGAGGCACUACGGUGCUGAAGUGACAAAUGCCCUGCUUCCAGGAAAAGCCUCUAAGCAUCAGGUAACAUCAAAUCGUACCCCAAACCGACACAGGUGGUCAGGUAGAGAAUACCAAGGCGCUUGAGAGAACUCGGGUGAAGGAACUAGGCAAAAUGGUGCCGUAACUUCGGGAGAAGGCACGCUGAUA